ensembl:lncRNA
CACAAAGACGGUCCUUGUAUAACAAUUUUAAUUUACAGAACAUUGUCAUUUAGUGCAAAUAACACUUCUGAUGUACAACUUAGAAAUAUAGAAAGUGUAGAUUACUGACAAUAUCAAAAUUAAAAACACUGGAGGCAUUCUUAAGCUGACAUUGCUCAUAGAUCCAGCUCCUAUAAUCAUCCAGAUCCUUUUGAACAUCUGACCCCUUGGACUGAACAGAUCUACUAAGGACAAAACUCCCACCCUAUGAUGGCAUUAAACAUUGGUAUAAAUUUACAUCUUGAGGUAAGAUAUGAAAUGCUGACCAUUCCUAAGUUAAUUUAAGUGUUGGUAAAUGCACAUCAGGUGGCUGUACAGUUAAGAUAUCCAGGAGCUCAAGGGUUCGUUCUGGAGUUAUUUCUUUCAGUCAAAGGGCAGGAGGCCACUGCACUGUAGGGUGGCAUGUGAAAUGUAAUUAGAAUACGAUUCUAAAGGGACAGAUGUCCUACUCCACAUUUUAUAAUUUGACCGUGUCCUUGCAAUAGCAGUUGAUCUACUUUAGCAACCUGACAAUUGUACAGACGAGAGUUUUUUUCUGCAUCAUCAGGGGUCUCAAAGUUGUACCAGGUUGCGCAGAGAUAACGUACAGAUGCCCUUUUACAACUCCGCAUCGGCAGUCAAUUCCAAUAUUUACAUUCCACUUUAAUUAUCACUACCAACCAUGUCUAAAAUAUUGGCCAAAUGCUCUUUAGAUCCUACUCCAGGUUUCCUGAGCCUUACUGUCACUGCCUUCAUCCCUCAAUUCACGUUUCUCACAUUGGUAAAUUAACUAAAAGCGUAUUCGGUUUUCUCCGUACAAUACAUUGUGUCCCUGGUGCUCGCCAAAAGCUACUUUAUAACCAUCUAGAAAUAUAAAGAUUUAGGCCCUGGCCCCCUUUCAAACUGCAAAGGGAGACGUAUGUCGGGGGGGACGGGAAAAGGCAGAAAACAGGUGAUAAUGUACCAAACCUGAUCAAUGCUUCUUCUGUCAAUAUCGUCUUUCCUCUCUCAUGGUAGUAACUUUAGCAGCAGCAAAACAAGUGGCUGUAAUACUAGUGAUUAAAGUAAUCCCCCAAAAGUGUAAUCAUAAGAAAUGUACAAAACAAUUUACAAAAAGCAAAUAACUAGUAACAACAAUUCAAAAACCACUUAAGAAACUCUUGAAUUUACAUACAAAUGUACCCAUGACCAACAGAUGGCGUUAAGUCAUGUUAACGUGGCAGGAUGACGACUACUGAUGAAUUAAAGCUGUAAAACCAGUCUCUUCUACAAGCAGGUGUCGUGUGUGAUGUCCUGAAGGAUAUGGUGUCCUGAAUGCAGUAGGUGGACAACACAUUCUAAUUAAGAGGAUGAAAGGGUCAUGUAGUCAUUGAGAGACGAUUCAACGAUGGACAUUGAGUCUCAAGUGGGCCCCUCGCAAGCCUGAGAAAAGGGAUGAAAAGUCAGAAAUUAACGAUAAAAAGAUUCUGUAUUCUUCUUAGAGAUCAAGCGACCCAUUAACAGUGUAACACAUGUUUUAUCAAUCAGUUUACUUGCUUCUUUCUUUAGUUAUGAAACAAGCCGUGUA